rnacentral:tRNA from 1 species
UAGAUUGAAGCCCGCUGGAUGGGGCUGCUAGUUGUUAAUUAGUGAUUCGCGGGAUCAAGGCCCGUCGGUCUAG